CGCCUAAACCUCGUUUUGAGGCAUGGUGGAAAAACACGUAAGCAAUAAAGACGGUUUCUCGUCUGGUAUGCUUACGUGUCUAUGCUCGAAAGAGCAUAGGGUGCUCGCAAGAGUACC
rnacentral:sRNA from 1 species